rnacentral:rRNA from 1 species
GACGAACGCUGGCGGCGUGCUUAACACAUGCAAGUCGAACGGAAAGGCCCUGCUUUUGUGGGGAGCUCGAGUGGCGAACGGGUGAGUAACACGUGAGUAACCUGCCCUUGACUUUGGGAUAACUUCAGGAAACUGGGGCUAAUACCGGAUAGGAGCUCCUGCUGCAUGGUGGGGGUUGGAAAGUUUCGGCGGUUGGGGAUGGACUCGCGGCUUAUCAGCUUGUUGGUGGGGUAGUGGCUUACCAAGGCUUUGACGGGUAGCCGGCCUGAGAGGGUGACCGGCCACAUUGGGACUGAGAUACGGCCCAGACUCCUACGGGAGGCAGCAGUGGGGAAUAUUGCACAAUGGGCGGAAGCCUGAUGCAGCAACGCCGCGUGCGGGAUGACGGCCUUCGGGUUGUAAACCGCUUUCGCCUGUGACGAAGCGUGAGUGACGGUAAUGGGUAAAGAAGCACCGGCUAACUACGUG